rnacentral:rRNA from 1 species
CAUGGCUCAGGAUGAACGCUAGCGGCAGGCUUAACACAUGCAAGUCGAGGGGCAUCACGUCUUCGGAUGGUGGCGACCGGCGCACGGGUGCGUAACACGUAUACAACUUGCCCGUCAUAGGGGAAUAACCCGGAGAAAUUCGGACUAAUACCCCGUAAGUAUAGAGGGGGCAUCCUCUUUAUAUUAUAGAUUUAUUGAUGACGGAUAGGUAUGCGCAGCAUUAGGUAGUUGGUGAGGUAACGGCUCACCAAGCCGACGAUGCUUAGGGGAACUGAGAGGUUUAUCCCCCACACUGGUACUGAGACACGGACCAGACUCCUACGGGAGGCAGCAGUGAGGAAUAUUGGUCA